AUUGAACGCUGGCGGCAGGCCUUACACAUGCAAGUCGAGCGAGCGGCGGACGGGUGAGUAAUGUAUGGGGACUGCCCGCUAGAGGGGGAUAACUACUGGAAACGGUAGCUAAUACCGCAUACUAUCGGAUAAUCCAUAUGGGAUUAGCUAGUAGGUUAGGUAAUGGCUAACCUAGGCGACGAUCCCUAGCUGGUCUGAGAGGACGAUCAGCCACACUGGGACUGAGACACGGCCCAGACUCCUACGGAGGCAGCAGUGGGGAAUAUUGGACAAUGGGCGCAAGCCUGAUGCAGCCAUGCCGCGUGUAUGAAGAAGGCCCUAGGGUUGUAAAGUACUUUCAGUCGGGAGGCGUUACCGACAGAAGAAGCACCGGCUAACUCCGUGCCAGCCGCCGCGGUAAUUC
rnacentral:rRNA from 1 species